UUAGGUCGUUUGGCAACAAACGACUCCCAACCCAGUCAGGUCCGGAAGGAAGCAGCUGCACGGAGCCCUCUUUGGGUGCUUUUUUUCGACCUAAGCG
rnacentral:SRP_RNA from 1 species